rnacentral:rRNA from 1 species
CGGACGGGUGAGUAAUGUCUGGGAAACUGCCUGAUGGAGGGGGAUAACUACUGGAAACGGUAGCUAAUACCGCAUAACGUCGCAAGACCAAAGAGGGGGACCUUCGGGCCUCUUGCCAUCGGAUGUGCCCAGAUGGGAUUAGCUAGUAGGUGGGGUAACGGCUCACCUAGGCGACGAUCCCUGCUGGUCUGAGAGGAUGACCAGCCACACUGGAACUGAGACACGGUCCAG